rnacentral:rRNA from 1 species
GGAUGAGUGGCGAACGGGUGAGUAACACGUGAGUAACCUGUCCCCUUCUUUGGGAUAACGCCCGGAAACGGGUGCUAAUACUGGAUAUUCACUGGCCUUCGCAUGGGGGUUGGUGGAAAGGUUUUUUCUGGUGGGGGAUGGGCUCGCGGCCUAUCAGCUUGUUGGUGGGGUGAUGGCCUACCAAGGCUUUGACGGGUAGCCGGCCUGAGAGGGUGACCGGUCACAUUGGGACUGAGAUACGGCCCAGACUCCUACGGGAGGCAGCAGUGGGGAAUAUUGCACAAUGGGCGAAAGCCUGAUGCAGCGACGCCGCGUGAGGGAUGACGGCCUUCGGGUUGUAAACCUCUUUCGCUCAUGGUCAAGCCGCAACAAUGGUUGUGGUGAGGGUAGUGGGUAAAGAAGCGCCGGCUAACUACGUGCCAGCAGCCGCGGUAAUACGUAGGGCGCGAGCGUUGUCCGGAAUUAUUGGGCGUAAAGGGCUUGUAGGCGGUUGGUCGCGUCUGCCGUGAAAUCCUCUGGCUUAACUGGGGGCGUGCGGUGGGUACGGGCUGACUUGAGUGCGGUAGGGGAGACUGGAACUCCUGGUGUAGCGGUGGAAUGCGCAGAUAU